GGGGGCAACCCUGACGAAGCAAUGCCGCGUGAAUGAAGAAGGCCUUCGGGUUGUAAAGUUCUUUCGUGGAGGACGAAAAGGUGGGUGCUAAUAUCGCCUGCUGUUGACGUGAAUCCAAGAAGAAGCACCGGCUAACUCCGUGCCAGCAGCCGCSGUAAUACGGGGGGUGCAAGCGUUAAUCGGAAUCACUGGGCGUAAAGGGUGCGUAGGCGGUGCAUUAGGUCUGUCGUGAAAUCCCCSSSCUCAACCUGGGAAUGGCGGUGGAAACCGGUGUACUAGAGUAUGGGAGAGGGUGGUGGAAUUCCAGGUGUAGCGGUGAAUGCGUAGAGAUGUGGAGG
rnacentral:rRNA from 1 species